rnacentral:rRNA from 1 species
UGGGGAAUAUUGCACAAUGGGCGGAAGCCUGAUGCAGCGACGCCGCGUGGGGGAUGAAGGCCUUCGGGUUGUAAACUCCUUUCGACAGGGACGAAGCUUUUGUGACGGUACCUGUAUAAGAAGCACCGGCUAACUACGUGCCAGCAGCCGCGGUAAUACGUAGGGUGCGAGCGUUGUCCGGAAUUACUGGGCGUAAAGAGCUCGUAGGUGGUUUGUCGCGUCGUCUGUGAAAUUCCGGGGCUUAACUCCGGGCGUGCAGGCGAUACGGGCUGACUUGAGUGCUGUAGGGGAGACUGGAAUUCCUGGUGUAGCGGUGAAAUGCGCAGAUAUCAGGAGGAACACCGAUGGCGAAGGCAGGUCUCUGGGCAGUAACUGACGCUGAGGAGCGAAAGCAUGGGUAGCGAACAGGAUUAGAUACCCUGGUAGUCCAUGCCGUAAACGGUGGGCGCUAGGUGUAGGGGGCUUCCACGUCUUCUGUGCCGUAGCUAACGCAUUANCGCCCCGCCUGGGGAGUACGGCCGCAAGCU